UACAAAGUCCUCAAAGUCCUCUGUAUUUACAGACCGAAGCUAAUAUCAGAUCAUUUUGUCCCAUGUAAUAUCAACUAGCUGCUAGCUAGCUAGCUAGCUAGGGUUACCCCACCCCCGCGAAAUUACACAGGUUUACAAAGUCAUUUCUAUUCCCAUUACCUCUUUGACUGCUUGCAACCUUUGGGGUAAAGAACUGGGAUAUUUUUUUCUGUGACAUCGUCCUGCCUGGCUGCCUCUGUGCGCCCGGUGCUUGCCUGACGCCAUGAAUGACGUUACGUGCAACCUGGAAGCAUGUUAACCACUUGCGUGCCAAAGCCAAAGUCGCAGCUUACAAAACAAAAAAAAUGAAAAAGAAUAAAUAAAUAAUGACAAUAGUAAUAAUAAAACAUGUCCAAAAACACUGUUUUAUUGAAGCAUUCAGUAUGAGAUUUGUUUGAACUUUGAAGAUGUCAUCAAAAAAUAAAUAAUUAUAUAAAUAAAAAAUAAAUAAAUAAAAUAUUAUAUCCGGGGCUAAUUAAAAAACAUCCGUGGCUUUAGCCCCGAAUGUUUUAGCCUAGGGACGCCACUGCCUACAAGUGUAAAGAUC